UACGUAGGCAGCAAGCGUUGUUCGGAGUUACUGGGCGUAAAGGGUGCGUAGGCGGUUGUUUAAGUUUGGUGUGAAAUCUCCCGGCUCAACUGGGAGGGUGCGCCGAAUACUGAAUGACUCGAGUGCGGGAGAGGAGAGUGGAAUUCCUGGUGUAGCGGUGAGAUGCGUAGAUAUCAGGAGGAACACCGGUGGUGGAGACGGCUCUCUGGACCGUAACUGACGCUGAGGCACGAAAGCGUGGGUAGCAAACAGG
rnacentral:rRNA from 1 species